CAAUAGCGUAUAUUAAAGUUGUUGCAGUUAAAAAGCUCGUAGUUGGAUUUCUGGGAGGGUGCUAAUGUCCGCCGUAGCGCGUGUGCAGCCGCGCCCUUCCAUCCUUCUGUUAACGCCUCUUGGCAUUUGUUUGCUGGUGGCGGGCUCAGAUAUUUUACCUUGAGAAAAUUAGAGUGUUUCAGGCAGGCUAGGCCGGAAUAUAUUAGCAUGGAAUAAUGGAAUAGGACUAUGGUCUCUUUGUUGGUUUGAGGGACUGCAGUAAUGAUUAAUAGGGAUAGUUGGGGGCAUUAGUAUUUAAUUGUCAGAGGUGGAAUUCUCAGAUUUGUUAAGACUAACUUAUGCGAAAGACAUUUGUCCAACGGAAGUGUUUUCUAUUAAAUUACAAGAACGAAAAGUUAAGGGGAGUCAAAGAACGAUCAGAUACCAU
rnacentral:rRNA from 1 species